rnacentral:misc_RNA from 1 species
CCAAGUGCGAUAUUUCAUGUGAAAUGCAUAACCCUGUGAAUCAUCGAAACUUUGAACGCAUAAUGUGCCUCAAGGUCCUCCUUGAGGCGUGUCUGUUUGAGUGUCUGAAACAAAUAAACUGACCGACAGGUUUUUUUUAACUUGUCAAACAGGGAUUGGGAUUCUUUCUUUUCUUCUUUUUAAGAAGAAGAAGAAGAUGGUCUCCUUGAAUAUGAACUUUGUUCAACAACACCACAACAUAACUUAACUCUGCUGCUAUCAUCAAUAUUAACAUUUGAUGCAACAAUGUUGUUGUUGUUGUUGUGAAAUAAAGGGACCAGUAAAAAUUUUAACUACCCUUUUCUUCAUUAUUAUCAAUCAACAGCAUCAUCUAAGGUGAUAUAUUUAAUGAUGAUAGUAAUAGUAGUCAUAUCAUACUCUGAUAUGGACCUCAAAUCAGGCAGGAUUACCCGCUGAAUUUAAGC